UACGUAGGGGGCUAGCGUUGUCCGGAAUCAUUGGGCGUAAAGCGCGUGUAGGCGGCCCGGUAAGUCCGCUGUGAAAGUCGGGGGCUCAACCCUCGAAUGCCGGUGGAUACUGUCGGGCUCGAGUGCGGAAGAGGCGAGUGGAAUUCCUGGUGUAGCGGUGAAAUGCGCAGAUAUCGGGAAGAACACCCGUGGCGAAGGCGGUUCUCUGGGACGGUACUGACGCUGAGACGCGAAAGCGUGGGGAGCGAACAGG
rnacentral:rRNA from 1 species